rnacentral:rRNA from 1 species
GAUCGCAAGAUUAAAACUCAAAGGAAUUGACGGGGCCCCGCACAAGCAGCGGAGCAUGCGGCUUAAUUCGACGCAACGCGAAGAACCUUACCAAGGCUUGACAUAUAGGGAAAAGCAGCAGAGAUGUUGUGUCCGCAAGGGCCCUAUACAGGUGGUGCAUGGUUGUCGUCAGCUCGUGUCGUGAGAUGUUGGGUUAAGUCCCGCAACGAGCGCAACCCUCAUUCUGUGUUGCCAGCAUUUAGUUGGGGACUCACAGGAGACUGCCGUGGUUAACACGGAGGAAGGUGGGGAUGACGUCAAAUCAUCAUGCCCCUUAUGUCUUGGGCUGCACGCAUGCUACAAUGGCUGGUACAAACGGCUGCAAUACCGCAAGGUUGAGCGAAUCCGAAAAAGCCAGUCUCAGUUCGGAUUGGGGUCUGCAACUCGACCCCAUGAAGUCGGAGUCGCUAGUAAUCGCAGAUCAGCAACGCUGCGGUGAAUACGUUCCCGGGCCUUGUACACACCGCCCGUCAAGUCACGAAAGUCGGUAAC